GAUGAACGCUAGCGGCAGGCUUAAUACAUGCAAGUCGUGGGGCAGCAUGAGUAGCAAUACUUGAUGGCGACCGGCAAACGGGUGAGGAACACGUACACAACCUUCCUUCAAGCGGGGAAUAGCCCAGAGAAAUUUGGAUUAAUACCCCGUAAUAUAUUUGAUAAGGCAUCUUAUUAAUAUUAAAGCUUCGGCACUUGAUGAUGGGUGUGCGGCUGAUUAGAUAGUUGGCGGGGUAACGGCCCACCAAGUCUACGAUCAGUAGCUGAUGUGAGAGCAUGAUCAGCCACACGGGCACUGAGACACGGGCCCGACUCCUACGGGAGGCAGCAGUAAGGAAUAUUGGACAAUGGACGAAAGUCUGAUCCAGCCAUGCCGCGUGAAGGAUUAAGGUCCUCUGGAUUGUAACUUCUUUAUAUGGGACGAAAAAGGGCAUUCUUGUUCACUUGACGGUACCAUAUGAAUAAGCACCGGCUAACUCCGUGCCAGCA
rnacentral:rRNA from 1 species